AGAGUGAACGCUGGCGGUAGGCCUAACACAUGCAAGUCGAACGGCAGCACAGUGGUAGCAAUACCAUGGGUGGCGAGUGGCGGACGGGUGAGGAAUACAUCGGAAUCUACCUUUUCGUGGGGGAUAACGUAGGGAAACUUACGCUAAUACCGCAUACGCCCUUCGGGGGAAAGCCGGGGAUCGCAAGACCUGGCGCGGAUAGAUGAGCCGAUGUCGGAUUAGCUAGUUGGUGAGGUAAUGGCUCACCAAGGCGACGAUCCGUAGCUGGUCUGAGAGGAUGAUCAGCCACACUGGAACUGAGACACGGUCCAGACUCCUAGGGAGGCAGCAGUGGGGAAUAUUGGACAAGUGGGCGCAAGCCUGAAUCCAGCCAUACCGCGUGGGUGAAGAAGGCCUUCGGUUGUAAAGUCCCUUUUAGGUUACGGGAAAGUAAAAG
rnacentral:rRNA from 1 species